UUAUGGUGUUUGAUUGUUUGUGUAUAGCUAUUGCCAGCGACAGAAGUACAGAAAAGUGAAGUGAAAUGAUGGGAUACUAAGGGAGCAAUGGCAGCGGUAAAUCUUUUUAAUUGAAUAUUAGCCGUAAAUCAUUUUUGUUGGACUUACACAAGUAAGACUAAUAGCGGCAGUAUUUGUAAUAGUGAAACAGUAGGAGUAAUAGCGAUUGUGUUUGCAUGAAGUUAUUGGUUGAAAUUGGAUAUUAGCAGCACUGUUAUUGGAAACAGGUUUGUUGUUGCAGGCUUGCAGCUGCAAUUAACGAUUGUACUGUCAGUAUUUAAAAUAGUAAUGUUGAAAUGCAUUUUCUCUUACAGAUUAGUUUGCACUAUUCGGGAAGAAAAAGGUAUUCGGGAUCUCAAUUUCUGAAAAAAAAUUUCAUUCCCGAAUUAAAUCGGGACUUUGAAUUCAGGAAUGGGAACAAGGCUUCUUAUUCGGAAAUCAGAAAUCAGCAUUUUGUAAUUACGGAAACGAUACCUGUUCCCGCCCGUUUUCCACCCUUAAUCCAUCGGCAAUAUUUUGCAAUCAUCUACAAUAUAUGACCCAUCGUCUCAAGCUUCCUAUCUUGACAAGAGACUUGCAAUAUCAAGAACAAUAACUAUUGGUACUGGAGAUAGACUUCUUGAACUAAUGGAGUUAAUGGAGUUGUUGUGUGUAUCUUAAAAUAAUAUAAAGCUAUUGGGAAUAUAAAAACGGCCGCAUCAGCUUUCGCUCAAAGCCUGCGAAGUCACG
rnacentral:lncRNA from 1 species